AGCGAACGCUGGCGGCAGGCCUAACACAUGCAAGUCGAACGAACCUUUCGGGGUUAGUGGCGGACGGGUGAGUAACACGUGGGGACGUGCCUUUAGGUUCGGAAUAACUCAGGGAAACUUGUGCUAAUACCGAAUGUGCCCUUCGGGGGAAAGAUUUAUCGCCUUUAGAGCGGCCCGCGUCUGAUUAGCUAGUUGGUUGAGGUAAUGGCUCACCAAGGCGACGAUCAGUAGCUGGUCUGAGAGGAUGAUCAGCCACAUUGGGACUGAGACACGGCCCAAAAUCCUACGGGAAGGAGGAGUGGGGAAUCCUGCGCAAUCGGGUGAAGGCUGACGGCGCCAUGCCGCGAUAACUAUGAAGGUCUUAGGAUUGUAAAAUUCUUUCACCGGGGACGAUAAUGACGGUACCCGGAGAAGAAGCCCCGGCUAACUUCGUG
rnacentral:rRNA from 1 species